rnacentral:snRNA from 1 species
AUCACUUCUCAGCCUUUUGGUUAAGAUCAAAAGUGAAGCAACUGUUCUUAUCAGUUUAAUAUCUAAUACGUCCUCUAUCUGAGGACAAUAUAUUAAACUAGAGGCCGGAUGCACAAAAAUU